AAAAUAAACUGGGGGAACUCGGAGACCAGAACUGGAGCUCUCUGUUCUCUUGUAAGUAGCUUGGGAACGAGAGAGCUGCAAUUUGUACUUGGAUUUUUAGAGCAGCGAAUAUUCAGGUCCCGGUCAAAAAGGCAGAAAUUCAGACCCAGAGGAGAGCAGGGGCCUGGACAGCGCCCCGGGCCUUCCUCAGACUGGAAGAGUUCACGCUGGCAAAGACAGUGCAGCCCCAGUAACAAACAACCCGGAGUCUCAGAGGCUGACAGCAGUCAGUUUAUUUCUCACGGUCUGGGAUGGGAUUCCUGUGUCACAUUUGUAAGGACGGCUCUCGGAUGAGUCUCAAGACCGUGGAGGCUGAAAACCAACCACCCGUAAAUCCCUCAUUUUCCCGACACGUGGGAGGAGGCCCUGGGGGUCGAGCAGGCACGAAGAGCCCAUAGCCCGCCAGCUGCUCCGCCCGCAUUUAGAAAACCCUGUGUGCUGUGUUAUCAUACACACCAUCAAGCCAUCCAUGCACAGUUUCAAGAUUCACAAUCUGCUUUUGACCCAGAUGAGUCAUGACCACGCAUCUCUGUCAUUGCUCCAAGCCUUAAUUAAUGACCGCUUCUGCUUUGCACAAUGAUCCCGGAUUUUUUUUGUUUUUAAUAUACAAAUUUGUUCAUCCAGUGAGACGCCCGGCGGUUGACGCACGCUGAUGUAAACAACAAACACGUCAUCACUAUCGCAUGAAAUCUCAUCAGGAUUCCUUCCUGUGUGUCACUAAUAACAGCAUCAACAUUAUGUUUCAAGGCCAGAGCCUUUGUGGUCUUUCAAAAACCAAAGAACGGAUCUGUUUCUGAACCGGAUGGGCCACAGCCCUAAGUGGCAGGUUCUUCAUUUUUCUGAGACAAUUAGAUUUUACAGGAAAGACUGGACAACUUUUUCGUUUGCUCCACAUUUUCGGGGGUGGAAAUGCAAGUGCCACACGGAGGUCACCACAUGCCUGGGCACCUCUGGGUCCCUGCCCUUUGUCAGCCCCUGCCUCACGAGCCCGCCCGCGGAAUUCCCAGCCUCUGCUGGCAGCUCCACCAGCUGGAGCUCCUUCCGCGGCCGCCGGCUACGCAAAAGGCAGAUAGAAACCGACGGUGGCGUUUUUUUCCAUGGAAACCCAAAAGCCGGAUGUCACAGCUUGCGUUUCUUCUUCCCGACAGUCACAGUUGAGGGUAACGGUGGAGCAGGAGAGGAAACCCGCUCGAGCCUUGGGGAAGACCGGGCACAGGUGGAUCGCGGGAGGGCACUCGCAGCGGGUGUUUGCCAACCUGGGCCUUGUCUGCGUCGAGGCGGACCCCCCCUCCCCUCCCCCCUCACUGGGUCCCGCAGGGCGCUGGCCCUGGAACCGGGUCGUCUCCACGGUCCUGUACUGGGUCACCAUCCGCUGUCUGAACCGGCCGGGGUUACCAUAGCAACGCUACCCAAACCUUGGUGAGGACAGAGGCUCUGGGACCCGGAAAUGUUGUCACUUCAACCUCUGCCUUUCAGGGUUUGGAACCUGACUCUAAACCCACAUAUCAGAGUACAGGGCGUUUGAGAAAAGCCGGGAGCUCCAGGUGUUCAGUUUCCAGACGGGACUUCCAGGCCUCCUGUAGAAAUCGGUUCAUUACAGAGGUCGUGAAAACCACUUAGAAUUUGUCACGCGGGUGUCUGACCUCAGCUUGGACGCACUUGGGAGCAGGACACAGGGGAGGGUGAAAACGGGGAGUGUGGGGGGGCCAUCUUGGUGGGUGACAGGUGACAGGACUGUGCUGGGGGGAAAACGAGGCUGGGGUCUCCCCUCCCCCGCACCUGCCCAACUGCAGACCAAAGCCUUAGGUGCCCACAGGGAUCUCAGGAUGCUGCCCCUUGCUGGUCAUUUGCAUCCCCCCACCCCCGCGCCCCCCUACUCUGCCUGCCUUCCUAGACUUUUCCAGAAUCUCCAGCUUUGAGUGCUCCCUGCUGCCUCUUGCAUCUUUCUGGGAGCAGCGCUGAGUGCCCGCGUGCUAGGGAUGAUGGAGAGAAGUGGGGGGCGUGCUCCCAAUGCCCCCCGCCCUCGGGGGCACCCUUGCUCGGCACUUACACUGUGGAAGCAGAUUCCUCCACUAACCACACCCACCUUGCAGGAGCUGAGGGAUUACAGAUGACAAUGGAUUUGAGACGGGGCCAGAGCAGUACUGCGGUCGGCUCAGGAGCUGGCAGCAGGUGACGACUGGCUAUGAGACAGUCCCUCUGGCCUGGGAGAGGGGGGUCCCUGACCUGCAUCUUCACCUGUACGGUCCCCUCUCUGGUCCUCCUCUGGCCUUGCUCUCGUAAAGGUCAGGAUGCCCAGUGGACGCAGGGGGCUUCCUUCGUGGUCCACACACGGCACACCCAGGAGCCGGAAAUGCCAAGGGAACAGUCUUGUGUCCACACGUUCCUGCCCAUCAUCCUGAGGCUCCCCGCUCGGCCCCAGGCAGCCGGGACUUCUGGGGGAUCGGAUGGAAGCUGGACUUGGGGGCUGGGCUCCAGCCACACACCGCGGGCCAAGGUUAAGGUGAGAAGGCGGGGAGGGGCCCAGGGUGGGGUGCUGACCUGGUUGUGGCUCAGCAGCGGGCGUCUGAGAAUUCCACUCUCACGCCUGGCCUGUCGGGUCCUUAGUUAGACACGCCUGUCAAGACAAGCAGCCCAGGUCUCAGUCGACGGUCUGCAGGUUUGAUUCAUCAUUGCAGAUAUUUACCCAGACGGCGAGAAGGCUCCGGUGGCCUGGGCCAAUGGUGGUGACGCGGGUGGAGCAGAGUCCCAGGAGGGGACCCUAGACAGAGGGAAACCUAGGCAAUUUGGGGACACUCUUCCAUGCAGCAGUCACUGCCUUUUUAUUGUUGUCCUUUUCCAAAGGGAUUUUCUUAAAAAUCGGGCAGUGACUGACCAGGUAACAGUGGAAUGAGAUACCCACACAACACGGACAUUGGAAAAGAGCUCAAAAGGGAGGCUAAGGAACCCAACUGUGGCUCUGGUGAGAAUCUGCUUCCUCCUUCCCUGCUUCCCAACCAGUUAGUUACCUAGAAGUUCCAAUUCCAAAGGAAAGACAAGGGCCCUGCAAAGAACUGACUAUGCAUAUGGUUUAACCAGGGAGCAGUCUGGCUCAAGGGCUGAAUGUUCCCUGUCGUAUUCAAACACAUUUGCAUCCUUUCUCCCCCUGACCUUAGAUGGGCUGCUUCGCAUAGGGUUCCGCUGGGCGGAGCUGAAUGAAUCCUGCGGGGGAGGGGGGGAGGCAUUUUCCUGGAAGAGCAGAUGGUUGCCUAGGGCGGCAAAAAUGUUUUAGUGACUCUAUUAAGCCAGGGUUUGGAAGCCGUGAGGGGGUAGGUGGGUUUGUGGCUCUUCCCCCCCCCAUCUUGCCAAGGGCAGCCAAUUCCAGGCACCACCCUAGGGCGUAUCAGGCAGAACAUCUGAAUAUAUUUGCAUCUCUAAUUGAAACCAGGGCAGGGAGGGGGAGAGGAGAGGGCUUGCUGGGCUUUUGAGAAUUUAACUUGCUGCCUCCGUCCUCACACAGCUCCUGUGACGUCUCCUGGCUGGGAGGGAGGCUGGCAGAACCAGGCUUUGAUACAGGUGACAUGAAGGUCACUUCACCAGCAUCAGGGUCGUGACAACCCAGGCAGACCAGGGGGACAGCUGGCAUCCCCGCCUGCUCACUCGCCUCGUCUCCCCCCCCCUCCCCCCGAGAGUGUGUACACUGUCAGAACAACACGACACGUCUCCUGAAGCCGGUCCCUAAUGUGCAGCUCGAUCCCACAGCUGCCAGCACCAUCUGUGCAGGUUGUCACUGCAACUCAGGUUGUCAGACCUGGGGAAGCCUUCGUGGGACAGGGCCCCUUCUCCAGGCAGACCUGACUCUUUUGUAGCACUUCUUUCUUUGUGAUGGAAGUGACUCACACGCCUGGGGGAGCCUGAACCCUGGAAAGGUGAGUCCACGGCGCUGCAGCCUAAGACGCUGGGCAGGGGACAGCACGACCCAUCCAGUGUGGACUCUGGUCAGAAACUGGUUCUGUGUGAUGUGUGCCGUGCUGGGUGAAAGGACCGCUCAAGCUCGAGUUCAUUGCCAUUGCCGUGAGCCAGCUCAGGGCAGGUAAACGAGCUGUCCAGAGGCAAUCUGGAGGCUUGCUGAGAAGUGAUACUUUUGGGGGGAUCCAAGGCAAGGGGUCUUCGGGUAGCCGACAUCCUUGGAAUAGUCACUGGAGUCAAUGAAAGGCCACGGGAGAAAUCUCAACGGAGGAUCCACGGAGUUCACAGCGGGAGCCCUCUUGGGUGCCCAAAGGGACAUAGGGAGGUCGCAUGGCCCGCAAAGGGGGACCCCCCUUGGCCAUCACAGGCAGUGCAGCUACAGAGAGAAUGGGUUUUCCCCCGAGGGGACUAUGGUAUGUUGCCAGUAGGAGGUGGGAAGGACAAGAGGAGGCUGGAGAGACUUAGGUAGGAGUCCUUCUGGAUGCUUCUUAUUGGGAAAAACCUUCCAUGAUGCUCGGGAACUGUGGUUCAGCAUCCUUUCAAAUCCAAUCCUUCCCAAACGGGCAAAAGGUUUUUCCUCUUUCUUUUCAAAGUCAUUUCAGUGUCUUUUCUGAUGUGUGAGAUAUUUAUUUUUUCAAGUACUUCCCAAUUAACAAGUGUACCCUACACAGAGGACCCAAGGGAUCUAGUCUUAAUAUGUCCCCAUAAUUCACCACUGAUGGGAACUAAAUAUGUACCUUGAUGGAAGAAAAGAACCCUGCAUGCGCUAAUGAAUAAACUUCCUGAAUGCAAUUCUAUGGGUCACGUCUCCUGAGAAAAGGCCUUUAAGCCUAACGGUUCAGGAUAAAUCGGCCAGCAGCCAGUGUGUGAUAACUUAGCACAAAGGGGUUUGAAAGAUAAUCAGGCCAGGGCUGCAGAGACGGUCUCAGAGCCAAGGUUCAAGGUGUCCGGGAAAGUUUGGGACCUACCUUGAGUCAGUCGCAGAAUGUUCCACAGGUAGGAGGGGUGUUCUACACACAGAAGGGUGAUGAAUAAAACAGGUGGACACCUAACAAAAUGCUUAAUUUUGCUGCAGUCAAAAAGUCACCGAGCCCACAAUAUAAAACGUCAAUUUCUGUGUCCUAACAAGACAAAGACGUUACCUAAAAAAUAAUAUAAACCUAUACAGAUAACCGAAUCACUGUGCUAUACACCGCCAACUAACACAACAUUGUAAAUCAACAGUACUUCAAUGAAAAUAUUUGACAAAGAGAAACAGUAUCCUUAUUUAAAAAAAUUUUUUUUUGCUUUUUAGGAUCACACCCGCAGCAUAUGGAGGUUCCCAGAAUAGGGGUCUAAUGGGAGCUAUAGCUCCCGGCCUAUGCCACAGCCACAGCAAUGUGGGAUCCAAGCCACAGCAACACCAGAUCCUUAACCCACCGAGCGAGGCCAGGGAUCGAACCCGAAACUUCAUGGUUCCUACUCGGAUUCGUUUCCACUGAGCCAUGACAGGAAUUCCUAAAAAGCAAAAUGUUAUCUUUAUACCUCUGUAAAAAGUGCCCCUUGUGCAUCCUGGUUUGCGAUCAUUGUAAGAUCCUGGAACUCCUAUGAAAAGAUGAAGAUAGAAUUUGGACUUUAUUUCUGGGUGCACGAAAAUGCAAGGUCAAGAACACGUGCAAAAACUGCACAUUUGGGGUUGUACAAGGUUGCUUGUUACGACGUAUCUUGUCUGCCACUCUUAGUGGCAUUUCCUAGGAUGGCUGUUAAAAGCUGGGGGAUUCCCAGACGAGAAGGCAAAUUACGUUUUGAGCUUUGGCUGUAAAAAUGUCUGUGCUUCUUUGGGGAGCGAAGGACGAUGUAAUCAAACCCUCCACGAAAAGGCAAAUCACGGUGCUUGUAGCUAUAACACACCUGUUGAAUUUGGGGCCAUGCAAAGUUGGCCUUGGGGAUGAGCUAGGUCAUGGGCUGAAAGCCCAGAUGAAGAUAUUAAUGUGAGCCCCUUGCUAAAUUGCAUUCCUUGUCUUUCUCUCUCUCUCCCUCUUUUUUUUUUUUUUUUUUCAUUCCAGUUGCAGUCAUUCUGUUCUUGGAAUUCAGUUCAUAAAAACUCACACUCUCGUCCUUGGAAUGUUAUCCUCUGUAGGCUUCCGUUACCCCUGGGAAGAAGAAAAAUGAACGAGACACAAAGAGACAAUUCAUUCUCUCUGGUGUAUUUGAACUUACAUAAAUCUCAUGAUUCACAAGGAAUGAAACACCUGAAAAAUAAUUUCUCCAGAUGCCUGUGGUUUUAUUGCUGAAAAUCUUUCUUUCUCAUGAGCCUGUUCUCACUCUCAGGACGUGCUGCCUCCUUCAGACAGUUUGGUUUUGGAAAGAGUCAUAUCAGUUGGCUGAGCUUGUUUAGUGGGAGAUCUUUGAAAAGAUCUCGUAAUGAAAUCCCUGAAAAUGGCUUUGAGGGAAGGCUCCUGAGGCGGAGGCUUCCACCUGCUCCUAGAGUGAAGGAGGCUGCUGGGGACCACGAGGUCAGUGUUUUCCAAAGUUGCUUCAUUGGGACACAAGUUCUGGAAGGUCACUCUUGCGAGAAAAA
rnacentral:lncRNA from 1 species